GACGGGUCGGGCCCACGUGGAGGGUGGAACUGGGCCCGCGAGGCUCCCUCCGCUUGGCCCCGGGGACUCCUCGCGCCGCCCGCUGACGCCCGGGCCAAGGGCGAGGAGGCGCUGAAGACUCCCGGGAUCCCGGGACGACCACCUCCGCUCCGGCCUUUAGCCAUCACCGGCUCCCACCUUGCAAAAUGGGAAACUGAGGCCCGGAGGAGGCAAGAGGUCUCCGGGUCCCUGCUGGACCUUAAAGGACCCAGGGCUUCCUCCCCCCUAUCCCCCGGACCCUCCGCUGCAGCACCGGGGUAUACCGCGGGGAUGCGGCCGGGGAAGGGUCCUCAGGGUCAAAGGUGAGGGGUAGGUGGGGAGAGGGAACGUGAGCGGGGCGAGGUCCCCGCCGGCCCCGCCCACUGCUCGCGGCCCCGGCAUUACCUCAUCGCGGCGCGCGCCCAUUGGCUGGUUCCCCCGGAGGCCGGCCCAAUGCGGCGGAGCUGGUUAACCCGUCCCGCCCCGCGGGCGAGUCCCGGCCCUGCCCCUCGUCCCCGCGGCCCCCCGCGGCCACCGGGCGCCCAAGGGCCACGGAGACCGGGGAGAGCUGUAAAAAGACGUGAAUGAUGUAACUCCUGCCCUUCCUAAUUCCUUCCCCGAGUACUUGCCAAAUGCUGGGCACACGUGGGCUCCGCGUUCCACAUUGCCUCCUCGCUGCGAGAGGUACGGUUAUGAUUAUGGGUUUUCAGAAGUGGAAAGAGGCUCAGAGCAGCGAAGCCGCCUCCCAAGGUCACACAGCAAGAAAGUCACAGAGCUGGGAUUUGACCUCAAGUCUGUGUGUGUUCUGAGCUAGACUCCUACCCUCUGCAAGAUACUGGUUCUGCCGGGAGGUGCUGCUUCUAGGAGCUUCUGAUGCUGCAGGAGGGACAGGGCCCACAUCCUUGCGCAUUAGACCACCACAGGCCCCUGUGAACAAAAAUACCAGCCACAAACUGGAAAGCCACCGCCUCUGGGGAGGGAAGGCUUCCUGGAGGAGGAGGGGCUGGAGAUGAAUUUGCAAAGGGUAACGCAGACAUAAGCAGAAGGACUGGAUAGAGCACAGUGAGGUCAAGAUGCUGGGAAGGAAGCCUGGAGGAUCCCCAGGAGUCUACCUGCUGGUCAAGGUCAGCCACUGGAUGGCUGUGCAGGGGCCCAGGGAGGCUGCUUCUCUCUGGGCAGUACUGGCGGGCAGGAGUACAAGCAGAGGUCUAAGUAUUCACAAGUUAUAAAUCAAGCUAAUAAACUGCUAAAUAAAA